rnacentral:rRNA from 1 species
AUCGAUGAAGAACGCAGCGAAUCGCGAUAAGUAAUGUGAAUUGCAGAUUUUCAGUGAAUCAUCGAAUCUUUGAACGCACCUUGCGCCCCUUGGUAUUCCGAGGGGCAUGCCUGUUUGAGUGUCAUUUUAUCAUCAACUCAUUAGUCUUUGAUUAGGCUUUUGGGCUUGGACUUGGGAAUUGCUGGCUUGAUCUUUACUCAUUGAAAAGUAUCUAAUACUUAAUAGAGGGUAGAGUGUAGUCGGCUGUCCUUAAAUGCAUUAGCGAGUGUUAGUCUACAUGGCACGGCCUCUUGACGUGAUAAUGAUCGUCGUGGGCUGGAAGUGUAGUGUCUGGCUUCUAAUCAUUGAUUGCGUGCAUACGGCCCAUAAAGCUGGAAGCGCAACAAACCACGACUUACGUGCAAGCGUAGUUCGAAAUUGACAUUUGACCUCAAAUCAGGUAGGACUACCCGCUGAACUUAAGCAUAUCAAUAAGCGGAGGAAAAGAAACUAACAAGGAUUCCCCUAGUAACUGCGAGUGAAGCGGGAAAAGCUCAAAUUUUGAAUCUGGCGGUCAUCUAGGCCGUCCGAAUUGUAAUCUAGAGAAGUGUCUUCCGCGCUGGCCCGUGUACAAGUCUCCUGGAAGGGAGCAUCAUAGAGGGUGAGAAUCCCGUCUUUGACACGGACUACCAGGGCUAUGUGAUGCACUCUCGACGAGUCGAGUUGUUUGGGAAUGCAGCUCAAAAUGGGUGGUAAAUUCCAUCUAAAGCUAAAUACAGGCGAGAAACCGAUAGUGAACAAGUACCGUGAGGGAAAGAUCAAAAGAACUUUGAAAAGAGAGUUAAACAGUACGUGAAAUUGCUGAAAGGGAAACGCUUGAUGUCAGUCGCGUUAAUUAGGGAUCAGCCUUACCGGUGUACUUCCUAGUUGACGGGUCAGCAUCAGUUUCGGUCGUCGUACAAAGGCAAAGGAAAGUAACUAAUCAUUAUGGACCCUUGUCGGAUGCGCUGGUCGGGACUGAGGAAACCUCUGCACCUUUGUUUGUGUUCAGAGAUGCUGGCAUAAUGGCCUUAAGCGACCCGUCUUGAAACACGG